rnacentral:misc_RNA from 1 species
UAAGUAAGGCUUACCACAAAGAACGUCAGGUGAUAUGUAAGCUGGGGAACCACGUUGGUCUUUCAAUAAAUCGUUUUCACUACCCAAGUGUUUUCCCAGGCAAAAAUUCGUUAUGAUAGCUCAGUUGGGUUGGGUAUUCGGAGAACUAUUUGAGAUUGCAGGAAAUAUGCAAAGAACGUGCUUUUAGUAGAUGCACGAGGAUGACGGAGAACAUCGUCGACGACGUUUUCGGGAUAGCUGAACAAUCCCUAAAACCCUUAAGUCCGUGGACCAGGAAUCGGGAUACUGUGGAGAAGCUGGCAUGUCCUUUUACCGGGCUCACGUCGCGUCGUCGCGGUACAUCAUCAAGCGUCGUCUAUGGAGCAUAGCUCAUUUAAGCAGCUUAUGUGCAACUCCUGCAAAUUAGGAAUUUCGAAUUUCUUCCCACGGGUUCAGUUAAUCAUGAUUUAAUGUGCACGCGCGCUAUUUUCACUCGUGCAGACUUAUACAUUAGGUAAAAAUAAAAAUUUACGGAAAGGAAGGAAGGAGAAAACGAACAAGGAGAACGGAAGAUGGAAAAUGGAAGAUGGAAGAUGGAGAAUGGAAAAUGGAAAAUGGGAAAUGGAAAAUGGAAAAUGGAAAAUGGAGAAUGAAAGUAAUGAGAAAGCAAGAGGACUGUGAGGAUCGAAAAUCAGCUAACAAAGAAAAAAGAAAUCAACAAAUCUGUGUACACCGUUGGGUAUAAGAACCCUUUCUGGAUAGGGUAUAAUAGUCGAUAUUUUAUACGAUAUGUAUACUAUCUAUUACGAGAUAUACAAGAACGAGAUAAUAUAGAAAAUAGAGUAAAAGAGGAAGAAUCGGAGGAGAAUAAAAAGUAGACGAAGCGAAGGAUGAGUCUACGGAAUGUUUGUAGAAGUAGGAGAGUCGAAGAGGAGGAAGAGUAGGAUUGGGAGGAGGAUACCAGGCAGAAGCCUAUCGUCAUGCGCGGUGCUAUCGUAUUGAUCUCAAGCCGUGGUAACGAUUCUCCCUCUCACGUCGUUGUAUACGUAGCGGGAGGGAGGAUAGGGUGAGAAGGAGGAUGAGGAGUACGAAGAGGGCUUUGGGGGUUGGAAAGGGCUGAGGGGGGAGAGGGUGAAUUACCCCCUCCUUCCAGGUCUGAGGUAGAGGAUCUCUCCACUGCUGUUACCACUGCAUGGCACAGCCACGGCAUGGCAAGGCAUGAGAAGGCAUGGCGCGGCGUCGUGAACCAG